AUUGAACGCUGGCGGCAGGCCUAACACAUGCAAGUCGAGCGGAUGAAGGGAGCUUGCUCCUGGAUUCAGCGGCGGACGGGUGAGUAAUGCCUAGGAAUCUGCCUGGUAGUGGGGGAUAACGUCCGGAAACGGGCGCUAAUACCGCAUACGUCCUGAGGGAGAAAGUGGGGGAUCUUCGGACCUUACGCUAUCAGAUGAGCCUAGGUCGGAUUAGCUAGUUGGUGGGGUAAAGGCCUACCAAGGCGACGAUCCGUAACUGGUCUGAGAGGAUGAUCAGUCACACUGGAACUGAGACACGGUCCAGACUCCUACGGGAGGCAGCAGUGGGGAAUAUUGGACAAUGGGCGAAAGCCUGAUCCAGCCAUGCCGCGUGUGUGAAGAAGGUCUUCGGAUUGUAAAGCACUUUAAGUUGGGAGGAAGGGCAGUAAGUUAAUACCUUGCUGUUUUGACGUUACCAACAGAAUAAGCAUCGGCUAACUUCGUG
rnacentral:rRNA from 1 species